CACUGUGCCAGGCAGUGGGAUGCCUUAGCGAGCAAAAAGCAGUCCUCCCCUUCGAGGAGCUUAUAAUCAGCAAGUAAAUGGAUCGCUGGAAGUCAUCAUGAUGAGUUUCAUGAUAGGAGAAAAUGUCCGAUGUUAUGCGAACAGAGGUAAAAGAUGUAGCAGAAGAAGAGAGAGUUAUUUCAGGUGACACUGGCUGUGGACCCUGCAAGCUCAAAUGUCCUCUUACCUCCUAUUCUUCUUCCACGGCCAAUGCUGACCUCUCAGGCACCUCUGCAGAGACCUGGCUUGCCUGGGAGGCCAGUUUAAAAGCCACCAAUUUAACAGAGACUUGUUCUCAUCCAAAUAGCCUUUGCAAUUAGCCUGAACAUAUCAUUUGGAGCUCUUCAAAUAAAAGAUCUAUGGACGAAGGGUGGGCUGCAAGUGAUCGCAAGUUCUCAGAAGAGCAAUAAGGUGAAAGACAGAGAUUACCUGGGUCUGUGUCCAUGUCAGGAAAGAAGGCAAGAAGUAAGCAGUGGAUAUGGAUUUAAGAGGUUUUAAUGCUUAUUCUCAGGAGCCAAUGUGAAUACAUUUUCAAAUGCACUCAGCUAACCAGGCAUGUGGAGCCGUGUCACCAGGAAUGGCAGCUGCCAGGAUGCCUGUGCCAUGCGCCUCCUGGAGAUUGUUCCAACUACAUGGUCCCAGGGCCAGAGACUGAAGUCCAUCAAGAAAGUGCUUCUGGCACAGGAGCUGCAGAUGAUGCACAGCCAUGCUUGGGUCAGCCGCCUCAAGCCAGAAUACUCGGCAGCUUAGACCAAGGUCCCUGAUCUAGUGGCUCUGAUCCUAGCUUAAGGAUCAGAAGACCACUGUGAGGGACAGCAUGACUGGAAUUCCAAGCAUCUGUCUGAGGCCAAAGUCUGAAGACUCUCCAAAGACUGCUGACCCUUCCAUCCUCAUAUCUCCAUGUGGCCCCCAUGUGGCCCUACUGAUAUAUCUGGAAGAUGAGUAGAUCAAGUAUGAAGCUUUCAAGAUGCCUUUGCUGGAUCUUGUUUAUUUGUAACCUUACUCUGGAAAUUUUCAAUAUGCACCAAAGUAAAGAGAAUAGUGUACUGAAAGCUCAUGUGUGCACUACUCAGGUAGCAACAUUUAUUAAUAUUUUGCUAAUCUAGUUUUAUCUAUCUCUACUUUUUUGCAAAGGUACUCAAAAGCAAAUCUCAGCUAUUUUGUAUGUAUGUGAAUAUAUAUUAUAUAUGAAAUAUAUAUA